rnacentral:rRNA from 1 species
UACGUAGGUGGCAAGCGUUAUCCGGAUUUAUUGGGUGUAAAGGGCGUGUAGGCGGGACUGCAAGUCAGGUGUGAAAACUAUGGGCUCAACCCAUAGCCUGCACUUGAAACUGUAGUUCUUGAGUGCUGGAGAGGCAAUCGGAAUUCCGUGUGUAGCGGUGAAAUGCGUAGAUAUACGGAGGAACACCAGUGGCGAAGGCGGAUUGCUGGACAGUAACUGACGCUGAGGCGCGAAAGCGUGGGGAGCAAACAGG